rnacentral:rRNA from 1 species
UGUGCCAGCCGCCGCGGUAAUACGGAGGGAGCAAGCGUUAAUCGGAAUUACUGGGCGUAAAGCGCACGCAGGCGGUUUGUUAAGUCAGAUGUGAAAUCCCCGGGCUCAACCUGGGAACUGCAUCUGAUACUGGCAAGCUUGAGUCUCGUAGAGGGGGGUAGAAUUCCAGGUGUAGCGGUGAAAUGCGUAGAGAUCUGGAGGAAUACCGGUGGCGAAGGCGGCCCCCUGGACGAAGACUGACGCUCAGGUGCGAAAGCGUGGGGAGCAAACAGGAUUAGAUACCCUGGUAGUCCACGCCGUAAACGAUGUCGACUUGGAGGUUGUGCCCUUGAGGCGUGGCUUCCGGAGCUAACGCGUUAAGUCGACCGCCUGGGGAGUACGGCCGCAAGGUUAAAACUCAAAUGAAUUGACGGGGGCCCGCACAAGCGGUGGAGCAUGUGGUUUAAUUCGAUGCAACGCGAAGAACCUUACCUGGUCUUGACGUCCACGGAAGUUUUCAGAGAUGAGAAUGUGCCUUCGGGAACCGUGAGACAGGUGCUGCAUGGCUGUCGUCAGCUCGUGUUGGGAAAUGUUGGGUUAAGUCCCGCAACGAGCGCAACCCUUAUCCUUUGUUGCCGGGGGUCCGGCCGGGAACUCAGAGGACACUGCCGGUGGUAAGCUGGAGGGACGUGGGGAUGGCGUCCAGUCAUCAUGGCCCUUACGACCAGGGCUACCCACGUGCUACGAUGGCGCAAACGAGAGAACCGACCUCCGCGAGAGCAAGCGGACGUUCAAAAUUGCGCCGGAGUCCCGAAUGGAAGUCCGCGAAUCGACUCCUGAAAUUCGGAGUCGCU